rnacentral:misc_RNA from 1 species
CGCACCUUGCACCCUUUGGUAUUCCGAAGGGUAUGCCUGUUUGAGUGUCAUUAAAUUCUCAACCUUUGAUCGGCUUGUCUGAUCUUAGGCUUGGAUGUGGAGGAUGCGGGGUUCUCAGGAAUCCGGCUCCUCUUAAAUAACUUAGCGGAACUUUUGUGCAAUCGCUCUGGUGUGAUAAUUAUCUACGCCAAGAAUGUACGCGCUACUUUGAGGUUCGGCUUAUAAACGUCCGCAGGGACAAAUACUCUUGACAUUUGACCUCAAAUCAGGUAGGACUACCCGCUGAACUUAA